CGUAUAUUAAAGUUGUUGCAGUUAAAAAGCUCGUAGUUGAAUUUUAGGUUGUGUGGCUUAUUCUCACAUUGUGAGAAAGAGUCGUUUAGCCUUUAAUGAUUAAUGAUAAAAUAGCAUUAAUUUGUUGUUUUGUUAGGAAUCAUCUUUUACUGUGAAGAAAUUAUAGAGUGUUCAAAGCAGGCAUUGCUGUGAAUACAUUAGCAUGGAAUAAUGAAAUAGGACUCAGGUUCUAUUUUGUUGGUUUAAGACCCAUGAGUAAUGAUUAACAGGAACAGUUGGGGG
rnacentral:rRNA from 1 species